AAGAAUGUAAUCGACGAAACAAAAACUGAAUCCCCAUAAAAACAAGAACAAAAUCGCAUAAAACAAAAACUUAAACCCAUAAAAUAAGAACAGAAUUCCAAAUAUAAGAACUCAAUCCCAGAAAGCUUGAAACAACUAAACUAAUCAAACAGGAGGUUUCUAAAUCUUCAAUAGUCAUCAUCCAUCAGAUUCAUUGGACAAAUAAUAGGCACUGUCUCCACAUUAACCAUUGUGGAAUUUAUUAGAUUAGAGAUUUAUACACUAAAACACAGCAAGACUUGAAAACUUAUCUUAAUCGGGGAAAGAGUACUCCUUUGCAUCAUUGCAUGUCGAUUACAGGAAGGUUUGUAUGGAUUGAGACAUAUUACAGGAAGGUUUGUAUGGAUUGAGACAUUUUCGGGGACUAAAGGAUUGAUGAAAAGUAAGUAUUAAUGAUAAUGAUGAUUGAUUGAAAGAAGUUUUAGGGAAAAUAGAUAAGAAACGAGAAGGUUGUGAUGGA
rnacentral:lncRNA from 1 species